CUUGGAAUCAAGGAGUGAGGCAUGAUAAUGAGAUCCUGCCUGGGCUUGCAAAGGACAAAGGGGAUACAUGUGAAUACCUACAUUUUUAGCCGUUUGAAGAAUCACUGCACAGCAGCACAGAACGCCUUGCGUUAGGUUUUCUAAGAAUUGGAUUUUUUAUCUGCAAUUACUUGGGGAGUGGAAGCAGGAAAAACUACAGAUUGGGAAUAAUUAAACUGUAUGGACAGUGGCCAGAAUAUAAGGAGCACAAUCCAGCCAAAGCCUCUUCCCAUUGGCACAAGCUGCAAAAACAACUGAUUGUGCCUACGUGCAGACAGAUGUGUGACUUAAAAGGUCUACCUACCAGCCUACCAAGCAAACAAAAACCAACAAAAAUCCAGUGUGAAUGUUAUGACUGGCAGAUAGAUGAGCAGCCUGAAAUUGGGAUGCAACAGAACAGGCCACUCCAUAUAACAAUGAAUGGGCAUUUCUUUUUCACACACCUAAUGCUAUGUAUUUAUUUAUGAAUUCAUUAUUUUGAUUAAUUCAUUUGUUUUAUGGAAGCAAGAUGAAAUUUUGUACUGGCCUAUGGGAAAAAAAAUACUUAGGAGCUCACACUUGCCAAAUGCCAUUAGAUGAAUAUUGAGUAGAGGUUCCUAUUUUUUUUACCUGUGUCUGUAUUGGUGAUGGAAUCAGCUGGAUUCCAGGUGGAAUGAGCAAAAGCAGUGAAUAAAGGCUGGCUGAUGCAGCAGGUUACAUGUUGUUCUGUGAACAUGUAAAAAAGACUCUUUUAUACAAUACAGAAGGACCUUGUUAAUCGCAGGUCUGGCACCUGUGGUUUCACAUAUCCAUGGCUGACCGCAGUAUUCCAGGGGGAGGGGUUAAACCUGCGUGUCUGUGGGUGGCCUCAGAGGUGAUUUCUGGCCGCCAUUUUUAAUUCGGCAGAGAUUGAGAGCCAUUGCUCAUUAAAAAAAUUAAAGUCAAAACCCCCACGAUUUUUGGUCGAUUUGGGGGGGGGGCAUUGUUGGACUGCUGGGGACCUACAGAACAUGAUAGGCCACUUUCCCCCACCCCAUGUUUUUAGGGCCAUUUUACUCCUUGUUUGGACAUUUUUCUGACCUCCUGGAAUCUAACCCCUGGAUUUUCAUAGCCCCAACAAUCUACUAUUAGCAGUUUUCAUAUCCGCGGUAGUAAUGGAGAAUGGAACCCCUGCAAAUACUGAGGUUCUCCUGUACAGGUCUGGCAUACUGAAGACUAACCUAGAUGUUUGCGGCAAUGGUGUCCUUGUGUAACAUGGAUUUGCUCAUAGAGCUGAGUGUCUACUUCUUAUUCCAAAAGAAGUGUGCAAGGGAGGGGAGCAAAUCCUCCCUGUCACCUAACCGCACAGUGCACAGCUGCUUUAAGCAGUCUUCUCCCUGCUUGGCUCACAGUCAGUAUCAGAGGCAGGCUUAAGAUCUUUAAGGCCACAGAGCAUGGCAAGGUGAUGUCAGGACAGGGGAGGUUUUGCUCUCCUUCUCCACAUGUUCCUUUUGGUGUGUAUAUACUGUGUGUGUGUGCGCGCGCGCGCGCUCCAAGAGAAAGAAGACCAGUGUAUCUUGGCUUAGAUGGGAUAAAAAUGAAACAGUUAAAACUCUCUCUCCCUCCCCACACACACAUACCAGUCUUCCCCUUCAACUUGUAGCAUUCAAAGCUGUACUGGAUAAAACCAGCUUUAAUAAGAAUAAUUGAAUUGCAUGUAAUGUGUAGCUCUUCCACAAGGAGGAGGAGCAAUAGCACGAGGAGAUAAGCCUUAUCUAUUAGGUAAGAAAUAAUUCUACACCAUGGGGCAUAUGUUGAAAUAUAGUGUACUCAGUCAGGGCUAAGCUUCAACUACUUACCUCAUUCCAUGGUUGUUUCAAACAGUGUUGAAAAGCAGUUCUCAUUUGGGCCUGCUACAAAUCUGUUUGUGGGGUUUUUUUAAUGCGGCUUUUCUCAGAGGCAUUUCUUGCCUCCAUUUUCACCAUGAUCUGCCCUUACCACCCUUCAGUCCGACUGGCUAUGGGGACUCAAUGGUUUUGCCAAUCACACUGUGAUACUAUAUGACAACAUCAUGGAUCUGCAUUAAUCAGGUAAUAUGUGUCCACAGCCAAUAGAUUAAAUAUCUGUGAGCAAAUGAGGGCAGAAAAGAAAAAAGCAGCAGCCAAGGGAACAAGAGGACCCUGAACAACAUUAAAACACUGCAAAAAGUCUGAGAGGUGUAUAUCCCCUCCAGAAAUGUGUUCACCCGCAUUAAACAUUCCAGUUUCAAGGCCAUAUUGAAAUUAAAGUAUGUUUGGUGCAGUCUUAAUUGCAAAGGUCAUCAACUGAGGAAACCUCCCCACCAUUUUAUUUAGCUAAUAGCUAAAGAAAGUUUCCUCUAUCAACACUAAUGCAUAUAAGUUGUUCCUUGAAUGGCUUUGGAUGGAUGGCUACCUAUAACCCCUGCUAACUUAGCAAAGAGGCACCUUUUAACAUGGUGAUUCUCUUGAUUUAGCAGGGGGAGAGUAACUGGUCCUAUUCACCCCCAGCACAGUACCUCCAGUGACUGUUGCUGGUGUCUAUCCUGUGUUUCAUUUUAGAUUGUGAGCCCUUUGGGGACAGGGAUCCAUCUUAUUUGUUUGUUAUUUCUCUGUGUAAACCGCCCUGAGCCAUUUUUGGAAGGGCAGUAUAGAAAUUGAAUAAAAAUAUAUAAUAUAAUAUAAUAUAAUAUAAUAUAAUAUAAUAUAAUAUAAUAUAAUAUAAUAUAAUAUAAAAGAUAUAACACAUCUCAGCUGCUUGAUAGGACUGGGGAGUAUGUAGGAGCGACAGUCUGAGUGUGGUGGUUGGUUGGAUGGUUUUUGCACAGGUGGUUGGGGGUGGGGGGAGGGUUCCAAGACUGAAUAUGUUGUUUGCUUUUGAGAAACUGUUACUGCAUAUUUCUCUCGCUCUCUCUGCUUCCUCCAUUUUCAGUGUGCAUAUUUGUAAACAAACAGAUAUUGCAUAUACAAUAAUAGAUCUCCUGAAUUCUUUCCUUCCAAGAAAAUUGAUACUACAGCAGCCGCUCUUGGAACUUUCCACUGUUAGGGGAAGUGGGGAACUAAGAAACAACAGUCUAAACUGAAAACAGAUGUGGGGUUGUUCUAAAGUUUUUUGUGGUUCCUAAUGUGGCUAAGAGUUAUUGGUAGACUCCUUUCUAGGCAAUACAAUUGCUGUUGCCUACCGCCAACAGAAACUCAGGGUUGGUUUUUGCUUUGCUUUUUUACUCAUGCAAGCCGUAAGUAUACAAGUUCCAUGUUAGAUAUGAUCUGGGCCAGCGUCAGGCAUGACCUUAACCAGGCAGCUGCUGAGGGCUUGGGAUGCUCAGAAGGGCCAACUUCUGUUCCCUAUGUUCACUUUUAUCCCCCAAGCCUUCAUGUGGUGGCAACAGAGCAACUCCAUCAAGGCUCACCCAAGUAAAAGGGAACCCGUGGAGGACAGUUUGCCAAGAAUUCCCUGAAACCUCGAGCCAACUUUGGAUACAAUACUACAAAAUGACUGGUUGCUAGUAUAAACUAAAGAAGCUUCAGACUUGACUUCAAGAGCCAGCCUUGCCAGUGACUUCUCCUCACACUCAGCUGAAUGAACAUGACAUUUAUCUCUUUAGUGUAUUUUAUACCACCCAAUAUAGAUAUCUCUUAGACUUAGUCAACCACCACAUUGAUGACAAGGCAGAAGAAUAGCCAAGUAGUCAUUGCACAUUCUAUUCUAUGGCCACAUCCAAGAGAGCGACUGAAGCUUGCACAAGGGGCUUACAGUCUCGGGGAAAGUUUGAUGUGACUUGUUAAAAAGCUGACUCCUGUGGCACAUCAUACACUGCUUUGGAAAUUCACUCAAUUUCAAAAGCAGUUUGCUGUGAGGCAUGAGAAGCUGCCGUCUGAGAAAAAAAUAUUUUACUUAACCUGGAUUCUCUUGGAAUCACAGAAUCAUUCUCAUGCUUCUUUGGAUGUUGGCCUAGGCACUGAAAGCUAUGUGAAAAAAAUCUAGAAUUUGAGAUAUUUGUUGAAUUGCAGUAAACUUCUGAUUGUGCUU